UUAAAGGAAUCUGGAGCUGAUGACUCAAGAAAUGUCCUUCCUCCUAAGAAAUUAUCCUCCCAUCUGAGAUUAGCAGCAUCUAAUCUCAGUUUUCUCCACUGCUGACCAGCAUCAGCAACACAGAUAUCCAAAAAAAAAAAAAAAAAACCUUAAGCAAUUUACAGAAACAAGAGGUUCCACAAAACAAGCAGUUCCCAAAAACAAGAAUGGUGAAAAUUAUGUUCAUACAAAAAGCAGUAAUAUUCUUCAUAUUCUCAUCUGAUUUCUUAAGGUUAUGUUUACUCCUAUUUUUUAAAUGUCAUGGUUCAAAUAAAUAAAAAAGUAUGAACAGAGAGCUGGACUAGGAAGUGAGACACCUAAAUUCCACCCCAGUUGGAUGACCCUGAACAACUCACAUAACCCCUUCCCCGGCUCAGUAUUCCCAACUUCAACCUGAGGACACUAAUUAAAUAAGAUCUGUUUCUAACUCCAUACCUUCACAGUUCUAGUCCUGUUUUGGGUAUCAAAUCCAAAUCCUGUAAGCAAAAGGUCAAGGAUUCAGAAGUGAAAGGAAAGACUGUGGCUCUAACUUUGCCAAAGUGAAAAGUACAGACCUCUGCCAUCAGUGAAGAAAGAACCCAGAUCUGAUAAGAGCUUCAAACAGGCUCAGCACCUCCUGGCACACAUAGAGCGGCAUCACGUUGCCCCAAGAAAAUCACAUCUCUACACAUCAGACCCUUUCCAGUCCAUUUUGCCCCAUCCACAAAAUGAAAAUGCCACUUUAUUUACUAAAUCUAAAAAUUCUGUUGGGAGGCAAAGGAGAGUUGAAGAAUUUGCAAUGAAUUUAACCUGCCAGGAGAGGGAGUUUAACACCAAGCUUCCAGAAACAGGCUGCGUGGUAGCUACAACGUCCAGAAACCCAGGUUUCAACGCGGCCCUGCUUCAAGACCCAAAGGAAAUUCAGCACCAGGCGGGUGAAGUGACUUAC
rnacentral:lncRNA from 1 species